GCCCCGCUCGCGCGGCUUACGCCAAUCCCUUUCCAGGCGUGAGCCCUCCCCGGAGCCAAUCAGAAAGGAGAGCCUAGGAGGCGGGAGGCCGGUCCCCGCGAUGGACGGCGCGGCUGACCAAUCACCGCCCAAACUGGACGGCUGAUGCGUACGAACGGCACCCAAUAGGCUUGUGGCCGAGUGGGCGGGCCCGGCGUCGCCGGGCGCCGCGAGCCCCCCGCCGGGUGGCCGAGGUAAGGAGGGGAAGAUGGCGGAGUGAGAGGAAGAGGCGGAGAGGCCGGGACCGGCCGCGGGCCCGCGGCCUCGGCCGCGCUCAGGCUCACUGAAGGAAAUGAGGACUGAUCAAAAAUAACGGUCUCCGGGUCCGUUUUUCCCCAUCUUCAUAACAAGAAUAAGACUUUCCCAACAGUGUGAGCAUGGAUGGUCAAGCUCACGAUCAGCUAAAAUAUUUGAGUGCCUCAGAGAGAAAAUGAUGGUGAUGUGUGCUCUAUUUCCAUUUUCAUGAUCAGCUCGCUACUGCUAACAUAGGAGUUGAAAACUGUCACUGGAAGAUAAUUGCUGAACUUGAUCAACUGAAGGGUUAAGGUAAUUGGAAUAAGAUGAGAAAUAGAAACAGAGAAAAGAGAGGAAGGAGUUAGAAAAUAUGGUGUACCCUCAUGUUCUUGUACGUGAGAAAGAGAAACCAAAGACAAAAAAAAUUCUCUUUCACAUC
rnacentral:lncRNA from 1 species